rnacentral:rRNA from 1 species
AUUGAACGCUGGCGGCAGGCUUAACACAUGCAAGUCGAGCGGGGUGAUGGUGCUUGCACUAUCACUUAGCGGCGGACGGGUGAGUAAUGCUUAGGAAUCUGCCUAUUAGUGGGGGACAACAUCUCGAAAGGGAUGCUAAUACCGCAUACGUCCUACGGGAGAAAGCAGGGGAUCACUUGUGACCUUGCGCUAAUAGAUGAGCCUAAGUCGGAUUAGCUAGUUGGUGGGGUAAAGGCCUACCAAGGCGACGAUCUGUAGCGGGUCUGAGAGGAUGAUCCGCCACACUGGGACUGAGACACGGCCCAGACUCCUACGGGAGGCAGCAGUGGGGAAUAUUGGACAAUGGGGGGAACCCUGAUCCAGCCAUGCCGCGUGUGUGAAGAAGGCCUUAUGGUCGUAAAGCGCUUUAAGCGAGGAGGAGGCUCUUUUGGUUAAUACCCAAGAUGAGUGGACGUUACUCGCAGAAUAAGCACCGGCUAACUCUGUGCCAGCAGCCGCCGUAA